rnacentral:rRNA from 1 species
UAGGGAAUAUUGGACAAUGGGUGAGAGCCUGAUCCAGCCAUGCCGCGUGCAGGAAGAAGGCGUUAUGCGUUGUAAACUGCUUUUUGCCAGGGGAUAAAAAGACCGUGCGCGGUUAAUUGAAGGUACCUGGUGAAUAAGCCACGGCUAACUACGUGCCAGCAGCCGCGGUAAUACGUAGGUGGCAAGCGUUGUCCGGAUUUAUUGGGUUUAAAGGGUGCGUAGGUGGCCCUGUAAGUCAGUGGUGAAAUAUCUCAGCUUAACUGAGAGGGUGCCAUUGAUACUGCAGGGCUUGAGUACAGAUGAGGUAGGCGGAAUUGACGGUGUAGCGGUGAAAUGCAUAGAUAUCGGAAGGAACACCAGUGGCGAAGGCGGCUUACUGGCCUAACACUGACACUGAGGCACGAAAGCGUGGGGAGCAAACAGGAUUAGAUACCCUAGUAGUCCCUGAGCGGGCUGGCAAGGCGCAU